ACAAGUUUGAGUUUGAUUUUAUAUCGCCUGUGAUCUGUGGCACUUUAACCAGGAAAUCUUUCACCCCACUAUUAUGGAUCUUCACCCUCAUUCUCUGUAAUAUUGAUUUGUCUGUUUUUGCUGCAGCUGAAGGAAAAACUUAGGACACUCAGACAGAUGAGGCAGCAAAGGUCAAAGGUUAAAAGGACCUGGACAUUGAUAUAGAGAGAGUCAGAGAGUAACUGUAAGAGUGAUGAUGUGUUCAUGAUGAACUCCAGAAAGAUGGGAAUAUAAAUGAGAUAAAUAGAGAAUGCCAGACAGUGAUGGUGUUGACAAAGACAAAGUAAUCUAAGAGGAUGAGAAAGAGGGAGAUGAAAAGAAAGAGGUCCUUCAGGAGAACCAGCCAGCAAAAUACAAAGAUCUCUCUGUUUUUGCUGCAGACAGGGAUAGGACUCAGAACCCUCAGAAAGACCAGGCAGCAAGGGUCAAAGGCGAAAAGGACCUGGACAUUGAUUUCGCUUUAAAUAUCAGCUAUCUGAGCAAGCAACCGAUCGCUGCAGCUG